rnacentral:rRNA from 1 species
AGUGAACGCUGGCGGUAGGCCUAACACAUGCAAGUCGAACGGCAGCACAGUAAGAGCUUGCUCUUACGGGUGGCGAGUGGCGGACGGGUGAGGCAUACAUCGGAAUCUACUUUUUCGUGGGGGAUAACGUAGGGAAACUUACGCUAAUACCGCAUACGACCUACGGGUGAAAGCAGGGGAUCUUCGGACCUUGCGCGAUUGAAUGAGCCGAUGUCGGAUUAGCUAGUUGGCGGGGUAAAGGCCCACCAAGGCGACGAUCCGUAGCUGGUCUGAGAUGAUGAUCGGCCAAACUGGAACUGAGAAAAGGGCCAGAAUCCUAAGGGAGGCAGCAGGGGGGAAAAUUGGGAAAUGGGGGAAAGCCUGAAGGAGAAAAGACGGGGGGGGGAAAAAGGGCUUGGGGUUGUAAAACCCUUUUUUUGGGGAAAAAAAAACAGGAAGGUAACACCGCGCUUUUUGAAGGUAACCAAAAAAAAAGGCACGGCUAAAUUCGGG